UACGGAGGGGGCAAGCGUUACUCGGAAUUAUUGGGCGUAAAGGGCGCGUAGGCGGUCGUGUGCGUCAGAGGUGAAAUCCCCGGGCUUAACCCGGGAGCUGCCUCUGAUACGGCAUGGCUUGAGUCCGGGAGAGGAGAGCAGAAUUCCCAGUGUAGCGGUGAAAUGCGUAGAUAUUGGGAGGAAUACCGGUGGCGAAGGCGGCUACUCUGGACCGGUACUGACGCUGAGGCGCGAAAGCUAGGGGAGCAAAGCGGGAU
rnacentral:rRNA from 1 species